GUGGGGAAUAUUGGACAAUGGGCGAAAGCCUGAUCCAGCCAUGCCGCGUGUGUGAAGAAGGUCUUCGGAUUGUAAAGCACUUUAAGUUGGGAGGAAGGGUAGUAACCUAAUACGUUGCUACUUUGACGUUACCGACAGAAUAAGCACCGGCUAACUUCGUGCCAGCAGCCACGGUAAUACGAAGGGUGCAAGCGUUAAUCGGAAUUACUGGGCGUAAAGCGCGCGUAGGUGGUUCAGUAAGUUGGAAGUGAAAUCCCCGGGCUCAACCUGGGAACUGCUUUCAAAACUGCUGAGCUGGAGUACGGUAGAGGGUGGUGGAAUUUCCUGUGUAGCGGUGAAAUGCGUAGAUAUAGGAAGGAACACCAGUGGCGAAGGCGACCACCUGGACUGAUACUGACACUGAGGUGCGAAAGCGUGGGGAGCAAACAGGAUUAGAAACCCCGGUAGUCC
rnacentral:rRNA from 1 species